UGGAUCUGUAAUGACUUAACUCUGAGUAUCUGAAUCAUGGAUUAUGACGAAAAACCUUAGAGUCUGAGGUCAAC